rnacentral:rRNA from 1 species
UACAGAGGGGGCAAGCGUUGUUCGGAAUUACUGGGCGUAAAGGGCGCGUAGGCGGCCAUCUAAGUCAGACGUGAAAUCCCUCGGCUCAACCGAGGAACUGCGUCUGAUACUGAAUGGCUUGAGUUCGGGAGAGGGAUGUGGAAUUCCAGGUGUAGCGGUGAAAUGCGUAGAUAUCUGGAGGAACAUCUGUGGCGAAGGCGGCAUCCUGGACCGACACUGACGCUGAGGCGCGAAAGCCAGGGGAGCAAACGGG